rnacentral:rRNA from 1 species
GUGGGGAAUCUUCCGCAAUGGACGAAAGUCUGACGGAGCAACGCCGCGUGAGUGAAGAAGGUUUUCGGAUCGUAAAGCUCUUUCGUUAGGGACGAACGUGCUCUUUGUGAAUAAUGAGGAGUAAUGACGGUACCUAAAUAAGAAGCCACGGCUAACUACGUGCCAGCAGCCGCGGUAAUACGUAGGUGGCAAGCGUUGUCCGGAAUUAUUUGGCGUAAAGCGCGCGCAGGCGGGAUAUCAAGUCUGUCUUAAAAGUGCGAGGCUCAACCUCGUGAGGGGACAGAAACUGGCAUUCUUGAGUGUCGGAGAGGAAAGUGGAAUUCCAAGUGUAGCGGUGAAAUGCGUAGAGAUUUGGAAGAACACCAGUGGCGAAGGCGACUUUCUGGACGAUGUCUGACGCUGAGGCGCGAAAGCUAGGGGAGCGAACGGGAUUAGAUACCCCGGUAGUCC